rnacentral:rRNA from 1 species
GAACGGCAGCACAGCAGAGCUUGCUCUGUGGGUGGCGAGUGGCGGACGGGUGAGUAAUGCAUCGGGACCUACCCAACUGUGGGGGAUAACGUAGGGAAACUUACGCUAAUACCGCAUACGUCCUACGGGAGAAAGCGGGGGACCUUCGGGCCUCGCGCGGUUGGAUGGACCGAUGUGCGAUUAGCUUGUUGGUGAGGUAACGGCUCACCAAGGCGACGAUCGCUAGCUGGUCUGAGAGGAUGAUCAGCCACACUGGGACUGAGACACGGCCCAGACUCCUACGGGAGGCAGCAGUGGGGAAUAUUGGGACAAUGGGCGCAAGCCUGAUCCAGCAAUGCCGCGUGUGUGAAGAAGGCCUUCGGGUUGUAAAGCACUUUUAUCAGGAGCGAAAUCUGCAGGGCUAAUACCCAUGCAGUCUGACGGUACCUGAGGAAUAAGCACCGGCUAACUCCGUGCCAGCAGCCGCGGUAAUACGGAGGGUGCAAGCGUUCAUCGGAAUUACUGGGCGUAAAGCGUGCGUAGGCGGUUCGUUAAGUCUGUUGUGAAAGCCCCGGGCUCAACCUGGGAAUGGCAAUGGAUACUGGCGAGCUAAGUGUGUCAGAGGAUUGGUGGAAUUCCCGGUGUAGCGGUGAAAUGCGUA